rnacentral:rRNA from 1 species
AGCGAACGCUGGCGGCAGGCCUAACACAUGCAAGUCGAACGGAUCCUUCGGGAUUAGUGGCGGACGGGUGAGUAACACGUGGGAACGUGCCCUUUGGUUCGGAACAACUCAGGGAAACUUGAGCUAAUACCGGAUGUGCCCUUCGGGGGAAAGAUUUAUCGCCAUUGGAGCGGCCCGCGUCUGAUUAGCUAGUUGGUGAGGUAAAGGCUCACCAAGGCGACGAUCAGUAGCUGGUCUGAGAGGAUGAUCAGCCACAUUGGGACUGAGACACGGCCCAAACUCCUACGGGAGGCAGCAGUGGGGAAUCUUGCGCAAUGGGCGAAAGCUUGACGCAGCCAUGCCGCGUGAAUGAUGAAGGUCUUAGGAUUGUAAAAUUCUUUCACCGGGGACGAUAAUGACGGUACCCGGAGAAAAAGCCCCGGCUAACUUCGUGCCAGCAGCCGCCGUAAUAC